UACGUAGGGGGCAAGCGUUGUCCGGAAUCAUUGGGCGUAAAGAGCGUGUAGGCGGUCCUGUAAGUCCGCUGUGAAAGUCAAAGGGCUCAACCCUUGAAUGCCGGUGGAUACUGCAGGACUAGAGUCCGGAAGAGGCGAGUGGAAUUCCUGGUGUAGCGGUGAAAUGCGCAGAUAAUCAGGAGGAACACCAAUUGCGAAGGCAGCUCGCUGGGACGUUACUGACGCUGAGACGCGAAAGCGUGGGGAGCAAACAGG
rnacentral:rRNA from 1 species